rnacentral:lncRNA from 1 species
GGUUCAGCUGUCUGCUCCCUAGCAGCCGGCCUUCGGGUCGGGCGUCUCCGCCGGCUACUGCCGCUUCAGUUCUCCCGGUGUGGCCACGAGUCGGGUUGCACUGCUGUGAUCCAUCCUCAUCUCCUAAAGAUGCAUCCUGACUUAUCUCCACACUUGCACACUGAAGAAUGCAACGUCUUGAUUAACUUGCUUAAGGAAUGUCACAAAAAUCACAACAUUCUGAAAUUUUUUGGUUAUUGUAAUGAUGUUGAUCGGGAGUUGAGAAAAUGCCUGAAGAAUGAGGUUCUUGCUCUGUCACCUAAGCUGGAGUGCAGUAGGGUGAUCGUAACUCACGGAAGCCUCAAACUCAAGUGAUCCUCCCACCUCAGCCUCCUGAGUAGCUAGGACGACAGUACGUAGAAAACAGGACCAAGAGCAGGGAGCAUGGCAUUGCAAUGCGAAAGAAACUUUUUAAUCCUCCAGAGGAAUCCGAAAAAUAAAUUGUAUUUUCACUCGAUGCCUUGGCUGAGAGAAGACCUAAAGACUCUGGGUUGAUACCUGAAAGAAUCCUGUCUUAUUUGGUCUCCAUAAUCCUUUGAAUGGAAAGUGACCUGUGAGAGAUUGAACCAUGGAGAAAUAUGAAAACCCUGGAUUCUGAGUAUUUGUUGGGCAGGGCGUUUAGUACUGUCUCCCCUUUACCAGCAAACCUGACUUCACCAUGUUUAUUCCCUUUGCCUACAACCAGUUAAUAUCUGAGUAACUUAUCUCCUUCAAUAAAAUAAUUUAAAUAAU